GUGGGGAAUUUUGGACAAUGGGGGCAACCCUGAUCCAGCAAUGCCGCGUGCAGGAAGAAGGCCUUCGGGUUGUAAACUGCUUUUGUACGGAACGAAACGGUCCUGGUUAAUACCUGGGGCUAAUGACGGUACCGUAAGAAUAAGCACCGGCUAACUACGUGCCAGCAGCCGCGGUAAUACGUAGGGUGCAAGCGUUAAUCGGAAUUACUGGGCGUAAAGCGUGCGCAGGCGGUUUUGUAAGACAGGCGUGAAAUCCCCGGGCUCAACCUGGGAAUGGCGCUUGUGACUGCAAGGCUGGAGUGCGGCAGAGGGGGAUGGAAUUCCGCGUGUAGCAGUGAAAUGCGUAGAUAUGUGGAGGAACACCGAUGGCGAAGGCAAUCCCCUGGGCCUGCACUGACGCUCAUGCACGAAAGCGUGGGGAGCAAACAGGAUUAGAAACCCCUGUAGUCC
rnacentral:rRNA from 1 species